GACUCAGCCAAACAUAUACAUGUACCCAUCCUCCCCCAAACUUCCCUUCCACCCAGGCUGCAUUGAGUCCCGUGUGCUUACAGUAGGUCCUUGUUGGUUAUCCAUUUUAAAUACAGCGGUGUAUACAUAUCCAUUCCAAACUCCCUAAUUAUCCCUUCCUCCCAUCCUUCCCCUGGGCCACUAUAAGUUUGUUCUCUAAGUCUGUGAGUUUCUUUCUGUUUUGUAAGUAUCAUUUCUUUUUAGAUUCCAUAUAUAAGGGAUAUCAUAUGGUAUUUCUCCUUCUGUAUCUGACUUACUUCACUUAGUAUGAAAAUCUCUAGGCCCAUCCCUGUUGCUGCAAAUGGCUUUAUUUCAUUCUUUCUUAAUGGCUGAGUAAUAUUCCAUUGAAUGUAUAUAUAUACCGGAGAAGGCAAUGGCACCCCACUCCAGUCCUCUUGCCUGGAAAAUCCCAUGGAUGCAGGAGCCUGGUAGGCUUAGUCCAUGGGGUCACUAAGAGUCGGGCACGACUGAGCGACUUCACUUUCACUUUUCACUUUCCUGCAUUGGAGAAGGAAAUGGCAACCCACUCCAGUGUUCUUGCCUGGAGAAUCCCAGGGAUGGGGGAGCCUGGUGGGCUGCCGUCUAUGGAGUUGCACAGAGUCGGACACAACUGAAGUGACUUAGCAGCAGCAGCAGCAGUAUAUAUACCACAUCUCCUCUAUCCAUUCUUCUGUCGAUGGGUGUUUAGGAGGCUUCCAUGCCUUGGCUAUUGUAAACAGCGCUGCAGUGAACAUUGGGGUUCAUGUAUGUUUUCAGAUUAUGCUUUUCUCCAGAUCGAAACCAGGUCCCCUGCAUUGGGAGCAAGAGUCUAGCCACUUGACCACCAGCAUGGAAUGGGCAGAAUCUAAGGCCCUCAUUCCGACAAUAUUUAGGAAACUGAAACCUAAUAAAAAUUUUGAGAAAGAGCUCGUAAACAGACUCUGCAGCGCAAGUGCCGUUUGGAGAUGACCGCACCCCUGGCCUACAGCUCGUUACGACCUCAUGAGAAACACGGAGCCAGGAAAAGCCACCUAAAUCUUUCUGAGGUUUCCUGGCGGCAGAAACUAUAGGCUGGACCUAUCAAUUACUGACAGAGAAGUGCUGAACUGCAUUUUAUGACCCAAACUGACCUCAGAGAUGACCCCUCUCCUGUUGAGAAACCUGCCAAGAAUGAACAGAAUCCCAUCACCGCAGAGACUGCUGAAAAACUGGCCUGUGUGGCCUGAAGUUUGCUAAGUAUGUGGCGUGUUCUGUACUCACACAGAAAGGCAUAAAGAAUGUAUUUAACGAAACAAUUUUGGCUGCCCUGGAGACGCCAGAACCGAAGAACAGCCACAGGUGUGUGCUGCUAUCAACAACUCUCCAGGAGUGUUUCUGCAUAGCUGGUGUCCGCAUGAUCCUACAAGCAAUGUUUCAAUCAAACUAAGGGUUACAAAUUAAAAUUUGUUUGUGCAAUAAUAACAAAACUGCACCUACUUGCGUGUACUUACGUGAGACAAGGCCCAUAGAUGUGGCCUCCUUCCCUCUCUCAAUGCCAGUGAAUUUUGAGUAGUUGUGGGUUGUCAGAAAAAUGAUCA
ensembl:lncRNA